rnacentral:rRNA from 1 species
ACAUAAGUAACGAUAAAGCGGGUGAAAAGCCCGCUCGCCGGAAGACCAAGGGUUCCUGUCCAACGUUAAUCGGGGCAGGGUGAGUCGACCCCUAAGGCGAGGCUGAAAAGCGUAGUCGAUGGGAAACAGGUUAAUAUUCCUGUACUUGGUGUUACUGCGAAGGGGGGACGGAGAAGGCUAGGCUAGCCGGGCGACGGUUGUCCCGGUUUAAGCGUGUAGGGGGUGUGACCUGGUAAAUCCGGUUGCAUAUCAACCCUGAGGCGUGAUGACGAUGCACUACGGUGCAGAAGUAGUUGAUGCCCUGCUUCCAGGAAAAUCCUCUAAGCUCCAGGUAACAUUAAAUCGUACCCCAAACCGACACAGGUGGUCAGGUAGAGAAUACCAAGGCGCUUGAGAGAACUCGGGUGAAGGAACUAGGCAAAAUGGUGCCGUAACUUCGGGAGAAGGCACGCUGGCAUGUAGGUGAAGUCCCUCGCGGAUGGAGCUGAAGCCAGUCGAAGAUACCAGCUGGCUGCAACUGUUUAAUAAAAACACAGCACUGUGCAAACACGAAAGUGGACGUAUACGGUGUGACGCCUGCCCGGUGCUGGAAGGUUAAUUGAUGGGGUCAGCCGCAAGGCGAAGCUCUUGAUCGAAGCCCCAGUAAACGGCGGCCGUAACUAUAACGGUCCUAAGGUAGCGAAAUUCCUUGUCGGGUAAGUUCCGACCUGCACGAAUGGCGUAAUGAUGGCCAGGCUGUCUCCACCCGAGACUCAGUGAAAUUGAACUCGCUGUGAAGAUGCAGUGUACCCGCGGCAAGACGGAAAGACCCCGUGAACCUUUACUAUAGCUUGACACUGAACAUUGAGCCUUGAUGUGUAGGAUAGGUGGGAGGCUUUGAAGCGUGGACGCCAGUCUGCGUGGAGCCAUCCUUGAAAUACCACCCUUUAAUGUUUGAUGUUCUAACUCGGCCCCGUAAUCCGGGGUGAGGACAGUGUCUGGUGGGUAGUUUGACUGGGGCGGUCUCCUCCCAAAGAGUAACGGAGGAGCACGAAGGUUAGCUAAUCACGGUCGGACAUCGUGAGGUUAGUGCAAAGGCAUAAGCUAGCUUGACUGCGAGAGUGACGGCUCGAGCAGGUACGAAAGUAGGUCUUAGUGAUCCGGUGGUUCUGAAUGGAAGGGCCAUCGCUCAACGGAUAAAAGGUACUCCGGGGAUAACAGGCUGAUACCGCCCAAGAGUUCAUAUCGACGGCGGUGUUUGGCACCUCGAUGUCGGCUCAUCACAUCCUGGGGCUGAAGUAGGUCCCAAGGGUAUGGCUGUUCGCCAUUUAAAGUGGUACGCGAGCUGGGUUUAGAACGUCGUGAGACAGUUCGGUCCCUAUCUGCCGUGGGCGUUGGAAGAUUGAGAGGGGUUGCUCCUAGUACGAGAGGACCGGAGUGAACGCACCACUGGUGUUCGGGUUGUCAUGCCAAUGGCAUUGCCCGGUAGCUAAGUGCGGAAAAGAUAAGCGCUGAAAGCAUCUAAGCGCGAAACUUGCCUCAAGAUGAGUCUUCCCUGGACCUUUAAGGUCCCUGAAGGAACGUUUAAGACUAAGACGUUGAUAGGCUGGGUGUGUAAGUGCAGCGAUGCAUUGAGCUAACCAGUACUAAUGAUCCGUGAGGCUUAACCUUACAACACCGAAGGUGUUU